rnacentral:rRNA from 1 species
GAUGAACGCUGGCGGCGUGCCUAAUACAUGCAAGUCGAGCGAAUGGAUUAAGAGCUUGCUCUUAUGAAGUUAGCGGCGGACGGGUGAGUAACACGUGGGUAACCUGCCCAUAAGACUGGGAUAACUCCGGGAAACCGGGGCUAAUACCGGAUAACAUUUUGAACCGCAUGGUUCGAAAUUGAAAGGCGGCUUCGGCUGUCACUUAUGGAUGGACCCGCGUCGCAUUAGCUAGUUGGUGAGGUAACGGCUCACCAAGGCAACGAUGCGUAGCCGACAUGGGAGGGGGAGCGGCCACACGGGGACUGAGACACGGCCCAGACUCCUACGGGAGGCAGCAGUAGGGAAUCUUCCGCAAUGGACGAAAGUCUGACGGCGCAACGCCGCGUGAGUGAUGAAGGCUUUCGGGUCGUAAAACUCUGUUGUUAGGGAAGAACAAGUGCUGGUUGAAUAAGCUGGCACCUUGACGGUACCUAACCAGAAAGCCACGGCUAACUACGUGCCAGCCGCCGCAGUAA